rnacentral:rRNA from 1 species
GAUGAACGCUGGCGGCGUGCCUAAUACAUGCAAGUCGAGCGAAUGGAUUAAGAGCUUGCUCUUAUGAAGUUAGCGGCGGACGGGUGAGUAACACGUGGGUAACCUGCCCAUAAGACUGGGAUAACUCCGGGAAACCGGGACUAAUACCGGAUAACAUUUUGAACCGCAUGGUUCGAAAUUGAAUGGCGGCUUCGGCUGUCACUUAUGGAUGGACCCGCGUCGCAUUAGCUAGUUGGUGAGGUAACGGCUCACCAAGGCAACGAUGCGUAGCCGACCUGAGAGGGUGAUCGGCCACACUGGGACUGAGACACGGCCCAGACUCCUACGGGAGGCAGCAGUAGGGAAUCUUCCGCAAUGGGCGAAAGUCUGACGGAGCAACGCCGCGUGAGUGAUGAAGGCUUUCGGGUCGUAAAACUCUGUUGUUAGGGAAGAACAAGUGCUAGUUGAAUAAGCUGGCACCUUGACGGUACCUAACCAGAAAGCCACGGCUAACUACGUGCCAGCAGCCGCAGUAA